rnacentral:rRNA from 1 species
GGGUUGUGAGGUUAAGCGACUAAGCGUACACGGUGGAUGCCCUGGCAGUCAGAGGCGAUGAAGGGCGUGCUAAUCUGCGAUAAGCGCCGGUAAGGUGAUAUGAACCGUUAUAACCGGCGAUACCCGAAUGGGGAAACCCAGUGUGACUCGUCACACUAUCAUUAACUGAAUCCAUAGGUUAAUGAGGCGAACCGGGGGAACUGAAACAUCUAAGUACCCCGAGGAAAAGAAAUCAACCGAGAUUCCCCCAGUAGCGGCGAGCGAACGGGGAGGAGCCCAGAGCCUGAAUCAGCAUGUGUGUUAGUGGAAGCGUCUGGAAAGGCGCGCGAUACAGGGUGACAGCCCCGUACACAAAAGCGCAUGUGCUGUGAGCUCGAUGAGUAGGGCGGGACACGUGAUAUCCUGUCUGAAUAUGGGGGGACCAUCCUCCAAGGCUAAAUACUCCUGACUGACCGAUAGUGAACCAGUACCGUGAGGGAAAGGCGAAAAGAACCCCGGCGAGGGGAGUGAAAAAGAACCUGAAACCGUGUACGUACAAGCAGUGGGAGCCCCACCACCAAAGCAUUCUCUGGUGUUGAAGGCCCUGCAAAGCAGCAUCGCGGUGGCGGAGCGUCGUUUGCGACGCCCAACACACAAAACAAGCGGUGAGUGCUUUGGGGUGGGGUGACUGCGUACCUUUUGUAUAAUGGGUCAGCGACUUAUAUUCUGUAGCAAGGUUAACCGCAUAGGGGAGCCGGAGGGAAACCGAGUCUUAAUUGGGCGUUAAGUUGCAGGGUAUAGACCCGAAACCCGGUGAUCUAGCCAUGGGCAGGUUGAAGGUUGGGUAACACUAACUGGAGGACCGAACCGACUAAUGUUGAAAAAUUAGCGGAUGACCUGUGGCUGGGGGUGAAAGGCCAAUCAAACCGGGAGAUAGCUGGUUCUCCCCGAAAGCUAUUUAGGUAGCGCCUCGUGAAUUCAUCUCCGGGGGUAGAGCACUGUUUCGGCUAGGGGGCCAUCCCGGCUUACCAACCCGAUGCAAACUGCGAAUACCGGAGAAUGUUAUCACGGGAGACACACGGCGGGUGCUAACGUCCGUCGUGAAGAGGGAAACAACCCAGACCGCCAGCUAAGGUCCCAAAGUCAUGGUUAAGUGGGAAACGAUGUGGGAAGGCCCAGACAGCCAGGAUGUUGGCUUAGAAGCAGCCAUCAUUUAAAGAAAGCGUAAUAGCUCACUGGUCGAGUCGGCCUGCGCGGAAGAUGUAACGGGGCUAAACCAUGCACCGAAGCUGCGGCAGCGAACGUAUCACCCAAGACAACUUUACGGAGUUGACGAUUGACGGAGCGAAGCGACGUCAAAGCGUUCAUUAAAGUCGAGUUGGCUUAGGGAUACGUUCGUUGGGUAGGGGAGCGUUCUGUAAGCCUGUGAAGGUGGCCUGUGAGGGUUGCUGGAGGUAUCAGAAGUGCGAAUGCUGACAUAAGUAACGAUAAAGCGGGUGAAAAGCCCGCUCGCCGGAAGACCAAGGGUUCCUGUCCAACGUUAAUCGGGGCAGGGUGAGUCGACCCCUAAGGCGAGGCCGAAAGGCGUAGUCGAUGGGAAACGGGUUAAUAUUCCCGUACUUGGUGUUACUGCGAAGGGGGGACGGAGAAGGCUAUGUUGGCCGGGCGACGGUUGUCCCGGUUUAAGCGUGUAGGCUGGUUUUCCAGGCAAAUCCGGAAAAUCAAGGCUGAGGCGUGAUGACGAGGCACUACGGUGCUGAAGCAACAAAUGCCCUGCUUCCAGGAAAAGCCUCUAAGCAUCAGGUAACAUCAAAUCGUACCCCAAACCGACACAGGUGGUCAGGUAGAGAAUACCAAGGCGCUUGAGAGAACUCGGGUGAAGGAACUAGGCAAAAUGGUGCCGUAACUUCGGGAGAAGGCACGCUGACACGUAGGUGAAGUGAUUUACUCACGGAGCUGAAGUCAGUCGAAGAUACCAGCUGGCUGCAACUGUUUAUUAAAAACACAGCACUGUGCAAACACGAAAGUGGACGUAUACGGUGUGACGCCUGCCCGGUGCCGGAAGGUUAAUUGAUGGGGUCAGCGCAAGCGAAGCUCCUGAUCGAAGCCCCGGUAAACGGCGGCCGUAACUAUAACGGUCCUAAGGUAGCGAAAUUCCUUGUCGGGUAAGUUCCGACCUGCACGAAUGGCGUAAUGAUGGCCAGGCUGUCUCCACCCGAGACUCAGUGAAAUUGAACUCGCUGUGAAGAUGCAGUGUACCCGCGGCAAGACGGAAAGACCCCGUGAACCUUUACUAUAGCUUGACACUGAACAUUGAGCCUUGAUGUGUAGGAUAGGUGGGAGGCUUUGAAGUGUGGACGCCAGUCUGCAUGGAGCCGACCUUGAAAUACCACCCUUUAAUGUUUGAUGUUCUAACGUGGACCCGUAAUCCGGGUUGCGGACAGUGUCUGGUGGGUAGUUUGACUGGGGCGGUCUCCUCCUAAAGAGUAACGGAGGAGCACGAAGGUUGGCUAAUCCUGGUCGGACAUCAGGAGGUUAGUGCAAUGGCAUAAGCCAGCUUGACUGCGAGCGUGACGGCGCGAGCAGGUGCGAAAGCAGGUCAUAGUGAUCCGGUGGUUCUGAAUGGAAGGGCCAUCGCUCAACGGAUAAAAGGUACUCCGGGGAUAACAGGCUGAUACCGCCCAAGAGUUCAUAUCGACGGCGGUGUUUGGCACCUCGAUGUCGGCUCAUCACAUCCUGGGGCUGAAGUAGGUCCCAAGGGUAUGGCUGUUCGCCAUUUAAAGUGGUACGCGAGCUGGGUUUAGAACGUCGUGAGACAGUUCGGUCCCUAUCUGCCGUGGGCGCUGGAGAACUGAGGGGGGCUGCUCCUAGUACGAGAGGACCGGAGUGGACGCAUCACUGGUGUUCGGGUUGUCAUGCCAAUGGCACUGCCCGGUAGCUAAAUGCGGAAGAGAUAAGUGCUGAAAGCAUCUAAGCACGAAACUUGCCCCGAGAUGAGUUCUCCCUGAGACUUAGAGUCUCCUGAAGGAACGUUGAAGACGACGACGUUGAUAGGCCGGGUGUGUAAGCGCAGCGAUGCGUUGAGCUAACCGGUACUAAUGAACCGUGAGGCUUAACCUUACAACGCCGAAG